rnacentral:piRNA from 1 species
UGAUUAGCGCAUGUUCCACAUCUCGGGG